GACGAACGCUGGCGGCGUGCCUAACACAUGCAAGUCGAACGGAAAGGCCCUGCUUUUGUUGGGUGCUCGAGUGGCGAACGGGUGAGUAACACGUGAGUAACCUGCCCUUGACUUUGGGAUAACUUCAGGAAACUGGGGCUAAUACCGGAUAGGAGCUCCUGCUGCAUGGUGGGGGUUGGAAAGUUUCGGCGGUUGGGGAUGGACUCGCGGCUUAUCAGCUUGUUGGUGGGGUAGUGGCUUACCAAGGCUUUGACGGGUAGCCGGCCUGAGAGGGUGACCGGCCACAUUGGGACUGAGAUACGGCCCAGACUCCUACGGGAGGCAGCAGUGGGGAAUAUUGCACACUGGGCGGAAGCCUGAUGCAGCAACGCCGCGUGCGGGAUGACGGCCUUCGGGUUGUAAACCGCUUUCGCCUGUGACGAAGCGUGAGUGACGGUAAUGGGUAAAGAAGCACCGGCUAACUACGUG
rnacentral:rRNA from 1 species